CUGCCCCGUGAUGUUCAGUCCUUUCCCACAAGGUCAGAGAUUAGAGCUGCAAUGUAGUCUGUACCUGCACAUUCCUAUAGCUUCUCAGAGACCUGUGGACAAUGGCUGAAGAGAUAGGCCAUGCAGGAAACAUCC
rnacentral:snoRNA from 1 species